UGAAUUAUUUAGGCUACUGAAAUGCUUCAGAAUGAUAAGUGUUUCUCUGGGAAAACAGUAAAAACAGACAACGUAACUGGCAAUACUGUGUCACUUUCAAACCAAGCAGCUGUUCAACGCAGCGAAUUUGCGUGACAAACUUGAAUUCAACCGAAAUCUGCACGGGGAAUCUUUUGGCCCUCACGGCACAAAAUGACUGUAUCACCCGCGAACAACGGUAUUGCUUGAUAUAUGGAUACAACCCACCCAUUUCCAGGACAGAGGGAUGCAUCUUUCCUAUGGGAUCUCGACUGCUACUGGCAGCUGCACUAACAGCCCAUGACACACAGUAAAGGAUGGGUGGAGUUCACUGAAGUCUUUCCUGAACUUAGGAAUAACGAAGUUUUUCUUUUAGAAAAACACAACAGCAGAGUCCGAGGCAUGUGGAGAUGCUACCUUUUCUCCAAGCAAGCGAGGCCCACCCAGAAUGCUUUGACAUGGAAGAUUCUGCCACCAUUAAUGGAGACAGAUAUGUUACAUUCUGAAGUAUUUAGCUCAACCCACCUGCUCUCACUAAGAAAAUAAAGCUUGGGAGAAUUUCCUUCUCUGGAUAAAUGGGCCAUUGAA